UUGUGUCGUUAUUUUUGCUACACAUCUUUCAGUAAAAUUCAAAGGUGAAUUAUUAAACCUUAUUAAAGCAUCAUUCUGUUUAUUUCAGCAUCAUCUCUCUGUUAACGAUCACUUCAUUUUGUUUUGAAGCACUUUGUAAAAGGCCAUUUCAACACGAGCUCUAUCAAUAAAUCAUUUAUCAUUUUUCUGAUGUUUAAUAAUGAUGACUGACACUUCACAGUGGUGACGGUUUGCAGAAAAAUGUGAUGAAUUAGGGGUAAAGUCGUUUCAAAUAUCCACAGCAGCCGUGCGUAAAGAUCAGCUGUUGGAGAGCCUGUGCAUAAUUCUCACUGAGGUCUGAGGAGCGGAACGGACACAACUGUUGACAUACAAACGGAGGUUUGAAGACCUUUACAUCCAUUUUUGGCUCACUGUGACAGCAAAUGAGGCUCGUGUAUGUGAUUCCACAGUGUGUGACAUUAAAAAAGUCUGGCAGAUAAUAAUGUAUGUGCAUAUUUCUGUCACAUAAUGCCACAUUGUGAAGUGAAUUAAAAGUUAAUAUAUACGUUUUCAUGAACACACUUAUGUUUAUCCGACAGAGAUCAUAAAUAUAGAGUGUAACAAAACACCGUACAGCUGAUGUUGCUGUGCCACACGUCAUAUUUGAUUUGACAACGCCGCUAGCUUCGUAGCGCUCGCUGCAUCCAUGGAGUCAUUAUAGAAAAUAAAAGCCAAUAAAUAACGCCUCGAUGGCUGCAUCCCACGGUUUGCAGCCAUGGAGGUGCAAACCAUGGGGUAAUGGUGUCACACUGUCCCGGCUUCAUGUUCUCCACGUUUGCUCUGCAAUGAUGUGACAUUCACGGACAAAUUAUUCGAAAAAAUCUUUUGGGUGAAUGGAAUGUACUGAAUCAUUUGCGGAAAGAGAUUUAUUCCUCGAAACAUUUUACUUCAUAAUAAAUGCCUUGUACAAUAAACAUUAUAAAGAUAUUUCUUUACGAUGCCAUUUGUUUCACUUGUUUUUAUGACGACGUUUACAACAACAAAAGCAAGGCGGGUAAUGAACAACCCGGUAGAAGUCCCCUGUUUUGCGCCUGCUAUCCUAGCCUGCGUCUGCUAAGCUUCUUUUGUGGAAUACCUGAUGCGGCCCAGCCUCACCGAGACUCUGCCUCCAGCGGCCCCAGACUCCGGAUGACAACUCUCGGGGACAACAAUGCUCGUAGCUUGGUGAUUGAUUAGAGCUUCUUUCAGCUAAUUAUAAUUAAUGCCCAGCAGGAUCACAUAAACCUGGCGGAUGCUCCCGUUCAUACACGACGCUGAGGAGAUGGAUAACCUUAGCUUCAAGUGAACACCAGGGAGAUGGUGUCCCCCGGAUCGGCCAGGAUGGUCCACUUACACUCCCCACUGCUGCCCAGGCCGCCAGCAC